rnacentral:lncRNA from 1 species
UCUAAUUAUCAAUGCAUUUAAUCAUUACCCGUUGGAGAGUCAUUAUUUGUGAGCUCUUUUGUUACAGCUGAUAUCAAAGGAUAAACGCCGUCAUCGCACUCAUCCCCUAUGAAGUCGUCCAAAUCAAGAGCCCAAAACAUAGCACCUCCUAGUCCUUUCUCUUUGAUAUACUUUGCCUGAAAAUUUUUAUUUGUCAAUGAAGAUUGCUCGUUUGUAA